GCGCCUCUGGUAUUCCGGAGGCAUGCCUGUUUGAGCGUCGUU
rnacentral:rRNA from 1 species